AAUAACUCAAUUCCUGAGUUUCUGUGUCCAACAUUUGACUGUCCGUUUUAUUUGAAAAAAUUAUGAAAAAAAAAUUAAAAAAAUAAGUCACACAUAAAGUAUUAUUUAUGUUUUAUCAUUUAACAACAAUGAAAAUACUAAUUAAAAAAAUCAUAUAAGACGAACAGUCAAACGUAGGACACGAAAACCCAGGAAUUGAGUCUUU
rnacentral:pre_miRNA from 1 species